rnacentral:rRNA from 1 species
GUAGGUGGCAAGCGUUGUCCGGAUUUACUGGGUGUAAAGGGCGUGCAGCCGGGUCUGCAAGUCAGAUGUGAAAUCCAUGGGCUCAACCCAUGAACUGCAUUUGAAUCUGUAGAUCUUGAGUGUCGGAGGGGCAAUCGGAAUUCCUAGUGUAGCGGUGAAAUGCGUAGAUAUUAGGAGGAACACCAGUGGCGAAGGCGGAUUGCUGGACGAUAACUGACGGUGAGGCGCGAAAGUGUGGGGAGCAAACAGGAUUAGAUACCCUGGUAGUCCACACUGUAAACGAUGAAUACUAGGUGUGCGGGGACUGACCCCCUGCGUGCCGCAGUAAACACAAUAAGUAUUCCACCUGGGGAGU